rnacentral:rRNA from 1 species
ACUCCUACGGGAGGCAGCAGUGGGGAAUAUUGCACAAUGGGCGCAAGCCUGAUGCAGCCAUGCCGCGUGUGUGAAGAAGGCCUUCGGGUUGUAAAGCACUUUCAGUAAGGAGGAAAGGUUAGUAGUUAAUACCUGCUAGCUGUGACGUUACUUACAGAAGAAGCACCGGCUAACUCCGUGCCAGCAGCCGCGGUAAUACGGAGGGUGCGAGCGUUAAUCGGAAUUACUGGGCGUAAAGCGUACGCAGGCGGUUUGUUAAGCGAGAUGUGAAAGCCCGGCU